rnacentral:lncRNA from 1 species
AUCUCCAGAUCUCUCUUGGAGCCCUUCUGUGAGUCCAGGACAUGGGACCAUUGAUAUUUCCUGGGGUGCCAGAUAAUUUGAGGCACGAGCUCUGGAUGGCAUGUGGUCCAAGGCUGCACUCCAGUCUGGGCUGAACAGGCAGUUGGCAGCUGAAGCUGUUGGAGCAUGAACUGCACAUAGUGAAACAUGGGAUGACUUCCUCUUGUGAUCUCAGUGUGGAGCUAGGAGAAGAGCCUGGCUGUAGAGAAUCAUAAAAGGUAGCUGAAGAAAGCAGAAUGUGCCACCUUUUCUUCUCCAGAGUGACUCAAGCCAGCUGUGUCAGCCUCUCCUCAUAUGUCCUGUGCUCUGUCCUCUUGCUCACCUGGGUUUUCUGGACGUUUUCUGUAGCUUGCUAAAGAUGUCUUUGUUUUUGUGGUGAGUCCUAAUGAGGACCUGGUCCUUCUACUGUGUCUCACAACUGCUGAAUAAGUGUAGGAACGACUUCCCCAACUCUGCUGGCAUGAAUGUGGUUAACAGUUUUGAGGAUGGGAAGCAGAAAGAUGGAAUCAGUAUGGGGCCUCUUCCUGAGCACAAAGUACCUACAAAAAGCUGAGCUCAGACUUUAAGGACCUUCCAACAGCAAGUAGAGAAUGUGUCAGAUGUUUUGCUCAAAUCUAGAUAAUGAACAUCUACUACUUUAAAUGAUUCAUUUCAUGGUAGAAAGCUGUCAGGUUGGCCAGAGAAGAUACACAUUCACAGUUUUUGAACAUGGAUUUCGCAGUGCAAUAGACAAGAUUUGUUGGAGAUGUAUUGCACUCAGUCUGGAUUCUUGUAGGAACACGUUCUUAUUGAGCAUUUAGUGGGUGUCCUCCUUCUACUGAGCCAAAGAAAUGAAUGAGAAAUUACUGAAAUAUAUUCACUACUAGUUUGCUGUGAAGUUCUAUUUUAUAACACCUUCUUUAGGAAAAGAAUUGUAAUUUUAAGAUGACUGUGUAUCUUUUUUGACCAAAGAUUUUCUUGCUGCUUGGUACUUGGUAUGACUCAUUCAAAUAUCUUCUAUAGACAGCGUGCUGCAUACCUUCAAGUCUCUCUUGUGUCUUUAAGGAAGUAAAACUUUACUGCUUCUUGCCAGCAAAAUAAAUAAAUAAGUAGAUAAAAUUGAGGCUUCAAAAAUUCUUCAAACACAACACAGUGGUAAGCAGUGUCUGUGUUCAUCAGUGUUACUAGAAUAUGUAUGUUAAUGAAUUACAUAAUUACAGUGCUAAUGAUCAUUAAUUCCAAAAGGCAAAUUAUUAUUUGGGGGAAUGUGUUGUGUCAUUAAAAAUUAGGGAAGCAAAAUACUUACAAUUGUCACAAAUGUGGCUGUAUAUUUUCAUAAUACAGUUACCCAUGUAGAUCUGUAUUUGAGGGAAAAAAAAACCAUUAUUUUUUCCAUUUGUAAAAUAUGGUUUGUUAUUAGUCUUUUGUUGACUAAAUGAGUUCAU